rnacentral:rRNA from 1 species
GAUGAACGCUAGCGGCAGGCUUAAUACAUGCAAGGCGAGGGGGCAGCAAUGUCACCGUCGUACGGGUGCGUAACGCGUAUGCAACCUACCUUCAACUGGGGGAUAGCCCGGGGAAACCCGGAUUAAUACCGCAUAAUACAUAUGAAUCACCUGAUUUAUUUUGUUAAAGAUUUAUUGGUUGAAGAUGGGCAUGCGUUCGA